rnacentral:lncRNA from 1 species
AGUGUUUUAGGUCUCUCACUAAUUUCCCCUGCAACUUCAGGGGUGAAGAACAUGACCUGAGCUGAGCCAUCUGGCACAUUCCACUGCUGACCAUAGGGAUUGAGCUGAUGGCGAUCCUACAAUCCUCCUACAGCAAGCCAUCCUACUGCAGCCAGAAACCUGUAGUGUCCAUUCCAGAGGCAUGGUUCCACCCAAAGCUAAUGUCCUCAGAGACAUUAAAAGGAAGAGAUGAGUUCAUAAGGGACCCUGGACAGGCAAAAGCAGCAAAUGUCCACUCCAGCGUGUUGGCCAGUCCAUGCGGAGUGAGCAUCAAGACAGUGCUGGAGCAAGCCCCUUCCUUCGGUAAGGAAGGAUACAGCCACUGACAGCCACCAGGUGUCUGACACCUAUCUGAAAAGCCAGCAA